GUCUGUUGAAGAGAGUACAUUUGAAUUAUGAAUUCUAUGAAAUGGUGAAUAUUGAAAUUACUGGUAUACUUUCAGUGCAACCAUACACAGGUAUGAAGUGAUCACGGAGAGCAGCUGAGGCUUGGCACUGUGUAGCACCAUCGAAGUCUGUGAAGAGAGCCCAGGAGAGGAUGUUGGUGAAAGUGAAGCCCAUUUGCAUCAGAAGAUCUCAGAAGUUUGGAGAUGCCAGUGCCCUCGAAUGACUUCUAAGAGCAGCAGCAGCAGUGGAGUGGAACCAGUCAGAGCCUUGGAGAUACACUGUGUGUGCUGCAGAGGUGGGGCCAGAGAAGUAACUGAAAACCUUUGGAGGAGCACAAAAGAAGAGUCCAGAGUAGACAUAUAUAAUAUAUAUUGCUGUAUGGGUCACCUGGAACGGAAAAAGAGUUCAUCAGAGCAUCAGAAUUUUGUAUACUUGGAAUCCAUGCUAAUCUUUUGAAAGUAUUUAGCACAUUUAUUUUGCCAUGUUGACAUUGUGAAGGAC